CCCUUUCCCAGGGGAGGGGCUGGGUUUAUGUUGGGAGAACUUUUACGGUGAACCAGGAGGUUCUCCCAACGUAAGCCCAGCCCCUCCCCUCUGCCUGCCUCAACCCUACAC
rnacentral:pre_miRNA from 2 species